rnacentral:rRNA from 1 species
UACGGAGGGGGCUAGCGUUGUUCGGAAUUACUGGGCGUAAAGCGCACGUAGGCGGAUUGAAAAGUCAGAGGUGAAAUCCCGGGGCUCAACCCCGGAACUGCCUUUGAAACUAUCAGUCUGGAGUUCGAGAGGGGUGAGUGGAAUUCCGAGUGUAGAGGUGAAAUUCGUAGAUAUUCGGAGGAACACCAGUGGCGAAGGCGGCUCACUGGGUCGAUACUGACGCUGAGGUACGAAAGCGUGGGGAGCAAACAGG